GGGCCCGCACAAGCGGUGGAGCAUGUGGUUUAAUUCGAUGCAACGCGAAGAACCUUACCAGGGCUUGACAUACUACAGAUCUUUUUGAGAAAGAAGAGUGCCUUCGGGAAUGUAAUACAGGUGGUGCAUGGCUGUCGUCAGCUCGUGUCGUGAGAUGUUGGUUAAGUCCCGCAACGAGCGCAACCCUUAUUUUAGUUACCAACUUGUUGGGUUCUCUAGAAAGACUGCCGGUGACAAACCGGAGGAAGGUGAGGAUGACGUCAAGUCAGCAUGCCCCUUAUGUCCUGGCUACACACGUGCUACAAUGGCUAAGACAAAGAGUCGCGAGUUCGUGAGAACCAG
rnacentral:rRNA from 1 species